rnacentral:rRNA from 1 species
CUUCGGGUGAGCGGCGGACGGGUGAGUAACGCGUGGGAACGUACCCAGAUCUGCGGAAUAGCCACUGGAAACGGUGAGUAAUACCGCAUACGCCCUUCGGGGGAAAGAUUUAUCGGAUUUGGAUCGGCCCGCGUUAGAUUAGAUAGUUGGUGGGGUAAUGGCCUACCAAGUCUACGAUCUAUAGCUGGUUUUAGAGGAUGAUCAGCCACACUGGGACUGAGACACGGCCCAGACUCCUACGGGAGGCAGCAGUGGGGAAUCUUAGACAAUGGGCGCAAGCCUGAUCUAGCCAUGCCGCGUGAGUGAUGAAGGCCUUAGGGUCGUAAAGCUCUUUCGCCAGGGAUGAUAAUGACAGUACCUGGUAAAGAAACCCCGGCUAACUCCGUGCCAGCAGCCGCGGUAAUACGGAGGGGGUUAGCGUUGUUCGGAAUUACUGGGCGUAAAGCGCGCGUAGGCGGACUAUUAAGUCAGGGGUGAAAUCCCGGGGCUCAACCCCGGAACUGCCCUUGAUACUGGUAGUCUUGAGUUCGAGAGAGGUGAGUGGAACUCCGAGUGUAGAGGUGAAAUUCGUAGAUAUUCGGAAGAACACCAGUGGCGAAGGCGGCUCACUGGCUCGAUACUGACGCUGAGGUGCGAAAGUGUGGGGAGCA